AUUACAGAACAUCGAUUAUUUACAACAACAAGUGUUCAGCCUAUGACUCAACACCACCGCGCUUUUUGUUCUCUCGUGUUUACACUGUAAAUGACCGUGUAAGUUGAUUCGUUGACCGGUCGCUUACAAAGUCUAGUAUUUUUUAAUAAGUGUUUAUAAGACUACAUUUUAUUAUUAUUGAUUUAUUUAUGUUUUGUUCACGCUAGUAUUGAGACUACAUCUCAAGCUAAGUUCAUGUUCAAUCAAGUUAUUUUGAAAGCCUUCGUCUUUCAACGCGGGAAGUAUGUUUGGCACAGAACUCCUUUAGCAAAGAUCUAGUAAACCAGUUGUUACAAACAUCGUUGAUUAUAUUAUAUCGUCUGGCAGCCGAUCUCCAGCGUCUUGAUUUAUUCGUCUCCUCGCCCACCCAGCACGGCAAAUCAAUGACCUCCGUGUCAAUUAUCACCCGAUCGUUGUCAAUGGUAUAUCGGUAUUUGACAACUCCAAGGCAACGGUCCAGCCGAUCAAGAUUCCAAAAUUACCCCAAUCGUCCAUCGUGUAUCGCCGCAGGACACCACGAUAAUGUAGAGCGUAAAAAGGUGAUUGAGCCGGAUUCCCACCUCACUGAGAAACCGUCUGAAAACUUGGAAUAGUACGCCGAGGAGAGGACCAGCCGGACGGAACUUUGGGAGAUCAGGGCCCAUUCGUUUAUCUAGGCCAUUUAGCCUAGAAUACCGGAGGCCUCUAGGCGUGACCCAAAACUUUGCUCCUAAUGCAGCGAACACGGUAAGGGAUGAUGGAGAUGGAGUCGGAUGUCGACAUCAUCACCAACGCUUCUAAAAUCAUUAAGCCAGAUUUAACCGAGGUGGAGAACUAACAAGUAGAUCAGCUGUCCCUAUGGAUCGGACUGAGAGGAACAUCGUGUCACGGUCACAAUGCACUCCGGUUUUACCACUGGUUAGUGAUGGCGAUAAAGAAAGCAAGAAGAUUAAAUCUAAGCAUAGAUUUUUUUCUUGUUAAAAAUAGUUACCGUAAUCAAUAAUAAGCUAUUUUUGUGUUCAAAUUCUGGGUUUUGUAUUUUAUUGUAUUUUAAAAUAUCUUAC